CGGCGGCUGGUCGAUGGCCGCGGUCGCCGCCGAGGACGGCGACGCCGCCGCCCGUCUGCUGAUCCGGGCCGCGGCCGCCGGCC
rnacentral:tRNA from 1 species